GCCACAACCACCAAGAACUGCAGUGGCGGUCGAGGUCCGGCGAGGUUGUCGGAUUUCGCCCAUUUUUGUUCCGAGCUUCACUCUUCUCUAAGACGCAUUGAGGGAAUUGUACAUAUCUAAGGGAAAAAAAAAAUGAAAGGAACUUGUACUCUCGUAGCUUCCGUGCUCGCCGCGUCCACCGUGGCUUUAUCCUCCUCCUCGGCCGCAGAUCGCGACGUCGCCUUUUAUCCUUCCUCCAAUGAGGGCUCGACUUAUACAAUGGGGAAACGUGGCGCACCAAAUGCUUGUGCAACGUCGGAUAAGGGGAAAUUUGUACCAAGAUUUGAUGGGUUGAGGUUCAUAGAAACUCUGGUCACGGCUCAUAGAUAAGCUUACAAAGCUCAUAAUUUUCUGAUUGUUAUUUGUUCAUGUUGAGGCAAACCCCAUGGGUUUAUAAGAUGUGAUUUAAAGAGAGUUGUGUUUUUUUUUUUUUUUCCCCUCUCUUAAUUUU
rnacentral:misc_RNA from 1 species